rnacentral:lncRNA from 1 species
AUGGCUGCAGAAGGGACAACUAGCCUCAUGGAUAUGGAUGAUAAUCCUGUGGUGAAGAAGAGCUGUAGCAGGAAAUGCUGACUUUUGAUGAAAUGUUCAGCUUCCAAACCCACUUAACAUCAGCUUUAGGCACAAUUGAUGAGGAAGCACUUACGGCAAGAAAAAACUUGGCUUCUUUAGAGCAGAAAGCAGCAGUACUAGAAGCAGCCCAAGUGAUGACAUCCGGGGAAUCAUUGCCUAGGAAUCGCUUUAAUUCUAUGCACAAUGAAGGGAGGGAGAGGGAAGGAUAUAUUUUGAAAAUCCC